CCACGCCCUAAACGAUGUUAACUAGUUGUUGGGAUGUAACAAUCUCAGUAACGCAGCCAACGCGAGAAGUUAACCGCCUGGGAAGUACGGUCGCAAGACUAAAACUCAAAGGAAUUGACGGGGACCCGCACAAGCGGUGGAUGAUGUGGAUUAAUUCGAUGCAACGCGAAAAACCUUACCUACCCUUGACAUGUCAGGAAGCUCUUGUAAUGAGAGCGUGCCCGCAAGGGAGCCUGAACACAGGUGCUGCAUGGCUGUCGUCAGCUCGUGUCGUGAGAUGUUGGGUUAAGUCCCGCAACGAGCGCAACCCUCGCCCUGUGUUGCCAGCACGUCAUGGUGGGAACUCACGGGGGACCGCCGGGGUCAACUCGGAGGAAGGUGGGGAUGACGUCAGAUCAUCAUGCCCCUUACGUCCAGGGCUUCACGCAUGCUACAAUGGCCGGUACAACGGGAUGCGACACGGCGACGUGGAGCGGAUCCCUGAAAACCGGUCUCAGUUCGGAUUGGAGUCUGCAACCCGACUCCAUGAAGGCGGAGUCGCUAGUAAUCGCGAAUCAGCAACGUCGCGGUGAAUGCGUUCCCGGGCCUUGUACACACCGCCCGUCAAGUCAUGAAAGUGGGUAGCACCCGAAGCCGGUGGCCUAACCCCUUGUGGGAUGGAGCCGUCUAAGGUGAGGCUCGUGAUUGGGACUAAGUCGUAACAAGGUAGCCGUACCGGAAGGUGCGGCUG
rnacentral:rRNA from 1 species